AGUGAACGCUGGCGGUAGGCCUAACACAUGCAAGUCGAACGGCAGCACAGUAAGAGCUUGCUCUUACGGGUGGCGAGUGGCGGACGGGUGAGGAAUACAUCGGAAUCUACUUUUUCGUGGGGGAUAACGUAGGGAAACUUACGCUAAUACCGCAUACGACCUACGGGUGGAAGCAGGGGAUCUUCGGACCUUGCGCGAUUGAAUGAGCCGAUGUCGGAUUAGCUAGUUGGCGGGGUAAAGGCCCACCAAGGCGACGAUCCGUAGCUGGUCUGAGAGGAUGAUCAGCCACACUGGAACUGAGACACGGUCCAGACUCCUACGGGAGGCAGCAGUGGGGAAUAUUGGACAAUGGGCGCAAGCCUGAUCCAGCCAUACCGCGUGGGUGAAGAAGGCCCUCGGGUUGUAAAGCCCUUUUGUUGGGAAAGAAAAGCAGCAGGUUAAUACCCCGCUGUUCUGACGGUACCCAAAGAAUAAGCACCGGCUAACUUCGUG
rnacentral:rRNA from 1 species